GACGAACGCUGGCGGCGCGCCUAACACAUGCAAGUCGAACGGAGCUAUGUUGAAAGCUUGCUGGAUAUAUAGCUUAGUGGCGGACGGGUGAGUAACACGUGAGCAACCUGCCUUUCAGAGUGGAAUAACGUUUGGAAACGAACGCUAAUACCGCAUAACGUCAGAGGACGGCAUCGUUCUUUGACCAAAGAUUUAUCGCUGAAAGAUGGGCUCGCGGCCGAUUAGGUAGUUGGUGAGAUAAUAGCCCACCAAGCCGACGAUCGGUAGCCGGACUGAGAGGUUGAACGGCCACAUUGGGACUGAGACACGGCCCAGACUCCUACGGGAGGCAGCAGUGGGGGAUAUUGCACAAUGGGGGAAACCCUGAUGCAGCGACGCCGCGUGAGGGAAGACGGCCUUCGGGUUGUAAACCUCUGUCUUCGGGGACGAAUAAAUGACGGUACCCGAGGAGGAAGCCACGGCUAACUACGUGCCAGCAGCCGCGGUAAUACGUAGGUGGCAAGCGUUGUCCGGAAUUACUGGGUGUAAAGGGAGCGUAGGCGGGGAGGCAAGUUGAAUGUCUAAACUAUCGGCUCAACUGAUAGUCGGCGUUCAAAACUGCCACUCUUGAGUGCAGUAGAGGUAGGCGGAAUUCCUAGUGUAGCGGUGAAAUGCGUAGAUAUUAGGAGGAACACCAGUGGCGAAGGCGGCCUACUGGGCUGUAACUGACGCUGAGGCUCGAAAGCGUGGGUAGCAAACAGGAUUAGAUACCCUGGUAGUCCACGCCGUAAACGAUGAUUACUAGGUGUGGGGGGACUGACCCCUUCCGUGCCGGAGUUAACACAAUAAGUAAUCCACCUGGGGAGUACGGCCGCAAGGCUGAAACUCAAAGGAAUUGACGGGGGCCCGCACAAGCAGUGGAGUAUGUGGUUUAAUUCGAAGCAACGCGAAGAACCUUACCAGGUCUUGACAUCGAGUGACGAACUUAGAGAUAAGUUCUUCCUUCGGGACACGAAGACAGGUGGUGCAUGGUUGUCGUCAGCUCGUGUCGUGAGAUGUUGGGUUAAGUCCCGCAACGAGCGCAACCCUUAUCAUUAGUUGCUACGCAAGAGCACUCUAAUGAGACUGCCGUUGAUAAAACGGAGGAAGGUGGGGAUGACGUCAAAUCAUCAUGCCCCUUAUGACCUGGGCUACACACGUACUACAAUGGUGAUCAACAGAGGGAAGCAACACAGCGAUGUGAAGCAGAACCCGAAAAAUCAUCUCAGUUCAGAUUGCAGGCUGCAACUCGCCUGCAUGAAGUCGGAAUUGCUAGUAAUCGCGGAUCAGCAUGCCGCGGUGAAUACGUUCCCGGGCCU
rnacentral:rRNA from 1 species